AUACGCAGUCAAAUAAAAUGACGUAAUUAUUCGAGUAAUUAAGAGGAGAAUUGGUAACUAUUAUAUUUCAAUGAUACGGGGAUAUGGGGAUACGCAGUCAAAUAAAAUGACGUAAUUAUUCGAGAAGUUUAAUAAGAGGAGAAUGGGUAAAUUAAGAGGAGAAUUGGUAACUAUUAUAUUUCAAUGAUACGGGGAUAUGGGGAUACGCAGUCAAAUAAAAUGACGUAAUUAUUCGAGAAGUUUAAUAAGAGGAGAAUGGGUAACUAUUAUAUUUCAAUGAUACGGGGAUACGCAGUCAAAUAAAAUGACGUAAUUAUUCGAGAAGUUUAAUAAGAGGAGAAUGGGUAACUAUUAUAUUUCAAUGAUACGGGGAUACGCAGUCAAAUAAAAUGACGUAAUUAUUCGAGAAGUUUAAUAAGAGGAGAAUGGGUAACUAUUAUAUUUCAAUGAUACGGGGAUACGCAGUCAAAUAAAAUGACGUAAUUAUUCGAGAAGUUUAAUAAGAGGAGAAUGGGUAACUAUUAUAUUUCAAUGAUACGGGGAUACGCAGUCAAAUAAAAUGACGUAAUUAUUCGAGAAGUUUAAUAAGAGGAGAAUGGGUAACUAUUAUAUUUCAAUGAUACGGGGAUACGCAGUCAAAUAAAAUGACGUAAUUAUUCGAGAAGUUUAAUAAGAGGAGAAUGGGUAACUAUUAUAUUUCAAUGAUACGGGGAUACGGGGAUACGCAGUCAAAUAAAAUGACGUAAUUAUUCGAGUAGUCUAAAAGGAGAAUGGGUAACUAUUAUAUUUCAAUGAUACGGGGAUACGGGGAUACGCAGUCAAAUAAAAUGACGUAAUUAUUCGAGUAGUUUAAGAGGAGAAUUGGUAACUAUUGUAUUUCAAUGAUACGGGGAUACGCAGUCAAAUAAAAUGACAUAAUUGUUCG